rnacentral:misc_RNA from 1 species
AAAAAAAUAAACAUCCUAACCCAAUAGCCUCCGAAGGGUUCUACAAACUUAGGCCAGAGAUCAUAGCAGAAGCCUUUCCCUUUCCGAAGGCGGAGGAAAUUAACGAUUAAACAACUCAACGAGUCUGAGAAUACCAAAGAAAACCAAAUCUAAACUAAGAGAAAUUUUCUCUCUCUUAUGCUUGAUAAUAAUAGAAAACGGUAAAUGUCAAGAUAGAUCAUUAGAUCCAAGUAUAUGGUGCUCAUUGCCCCGCCUGGCAUUCCCUUAUCCAAUAAC